rnacentral:rRNA from 1 species
GCACGAGAAAGUGGAGCAAUCCAUGAGUAAAGUGGCGUACGGGUGAGUAACACGUGGAUCAUCUACCUCUUGGUGGGGAAUAACCCUGGGAAACCGGGGCUAAUACCGCAUAAGCCUGCGAAGGGAAAGCAGCAAUGCGCCGAGAGAGGAGUCCGCGGCCGAUUAGCUAGUUGGUAGGGUAAAGGCCUACCAAGGCAAUGAUCGGUAGCCGGCCUGAGAGGGCACACGGCCACACUGGCACUGAAACACGGGCCAGACUCCUACGGGAGGCAGCAGUGGGGAAUCUUGCACAAUGGGGGCAACCCUGAUGCAGCGACGCCGCGUGAGCGAUGAAGCCCUUCGGGGUGUAAAGCUCUUUCGGCAGGAACGAUAAUGACGGUACCUGCAGAAGAAGCUGCGGCUAACUACGUGCCAGCAGCCGCGGUAAUACGUAGGCAGCAAGCGUUGUUCGGAGUUACUGGGCGUAAAGAGUGUGUAGGCGGUUCUCUAAGUUCGGUGUGAAAUCUCCCGGCUCAACUGGGAGGGUGCGCCGAAAACUGGAGGGCUUGAGUAUGGGAGAGGAAAGCGGAAUUCCUGGUGUAGCGGUGAAAUGCGUAGAUAUCAGGAGGAACACCUGCGGUGUAGACAGCUUUCUGGACCAUCACUGACGCUGANACACNAAAG